GUUAAAAUAGAGUAUCCGUUAAAACAAGGAUUGAAAC
rnacentral:other from 1 species